CAGAUUUCAGCUGGUUAAUGAUCACUCUUCAGGAAAUCUCUCUCUGCUCAUAUCACACCUGACUGUAGAGGAUAAAGGAGAUUACACGUGUAGAGUUAAAGGUGGUGAUUACAGAGAUUUCAGACUUACUGUUAAAGAGGCCACAAAAAGACCUUUACCACCGCCACGAGAGAUCAAAACAAUUUCUAAACAAGAAACCACAACUACAAAACCAACUUUGGUGGGCGAUGAUAAAACACAUCCACACUCUGAAACAUUUGGAAGAGAGUCUCUCCCCUUCGUCCCCUUCGCUGUGGUAACUGCAAUCUUUCUGCACAUCAUUGUAGCUGUGGUCUAUUGCAGCACCAGAAAGAAAGGUCCUGAUAGAGUUUAUUACAGCAGAAAUAAUGGAGAUGAAACGGUGAGUUUGCAGUAGAGAAGAACAUCAACAGAACAUAUGAAUGUUUAACUGCAGCAACAAUCCUACACACCUGAUGAUUCGGCAUCGAUCAGCAUUUCUUCUUUUAAUAUGGAUUAAAACAUUAGCACAAUUUGUGAAUAGAUUGAUUUUCAGCCCUGAGUUUUCGCUCGUCUUCGUCCUUUAGUGGAAUAAUAUACUGUAGCUUUUUUUUAACCAUUCAAUUAUUCAGAGUCUGGAUUAGACAGGUGUUUUCAUUUAUUUUUACAAAAUCCUGUAACACUCUCAAUCCUGUAUUCAAAAUUAGACCUGGUAUAUUUUGAGUAAGAAUAUUUUAUUUUCUUUGUUUUAAAAUGGCAAAAAAAAAAAAAAAAACAGCUUAUGUUACUGAGAAAUAAAUAAGUGUAAACUCUUCUGUCUAAAGACUAUUCUUUAUGAUCCUUUCAUAAA